GAUCAUGGCUCAGGAUGAACGCUGGCGGCGUGCUUAACACAUGCAAGUCGAACGAAGCACUUUGGGCAGAUUCUUCGGAAUGAAACCAGAUAUGACUUAGUGGCGGACGGGUGAGUAACACGUGAGCAACCUGCCUUUCAGAGGGGGAUAACGGCUGGAAACGGUCGCUAAUACCGCAUGACGUGUUCGGAUGGCAUCAUCUGAACAUCAAAAGAUUUAUCGCUGAAAG
rnacentral:rRNA from 1 species